UACGUAGGGUGCGAGCGUUGUCCGGAAUUAUUGGGCGUAAAGAGCUCGUAGGCGGUCUGUCGCGUCGAUCGUGAAAACUUGGGGCUUAACCCUGAGCUUGCGGUCGAUACGGGCAUGACUGGAGUUCGGCAGGGGAGACUGGAAUUCCUGGUGUAGCGGUGAAAUGCGCAGAUAUCAGGAGGAACACCGGUGGCGACGGCGGGUCUCUGGGCCGAUACUGACGCUGAGGAGCGAAAGCGUGGGGAGCGAACAGG
rnacentral:rRNA from 1 species